GCGACGGCUGCGGGGCCGGCCGCCGGGCCUGCGCCCUGCUCAGUCUGGGUCCCCCCGGCCCCCAGCUGAGUGUCCUGGCCGCGCGCGCCGGGUUCGGGGGGCACACGGCCUCUCCCGCGACAGCACCCAGCCCUGCUGGGUCACCCCAGCCGGUCCUGUGACGGAGUCUUCCCUGGGCCAGGCCCGGUCCUAACAGCCCAGCGGCUCACGGGCGGGGCGCGGGGGGUCUGAGAGGAGCCCCUUGCCUCACCUCUUCGGUGGGACGCCCUGUCGAGGGGGCACCGGGCUGUUCGGCUUCCAGGGGGGUGCGCUGGCCGGAAGCCCUGCAGGUGGGAAGGGGGGUCCGUGUUCAGAGGAAGUGUCCAUGCCGUGAGGACAAGUCCACUGCUUCAUGACGGAAACAUCCGGAAUAGCCGGCUGGUGUGGCUGGCCGGUCCCCCCGGACAUGGUGGUCUUCUGGGGGCUCAGCGCUGCUGCGCGGCUGGGCACCCCACACUUGUAGGGAGCAGGCGGGCCUUGGCUGGGGGAAGUCUGUGUUGCUGAGCCCACAGCCUCUACCCCGGCUGCCAUGGCCACUUUGUGAGCGCCGGGAGAACGGGGAAAACCCUCCAUGGUGGUGACUCACGUCAAGUUUGGCCACAAGGCCUGGAGUUCUAUUUCUGUUCCACAAGAUGGGCCCCGGUCUAGGUGGCCACCCGAGUACUUCAUUCUGGACACCCUGAUUAGCCAGAGAGCCCUGUGAGAGAGCGUGCGGCGUAUCCCGGUGUUCCAGCCGCCUGCUGGGGUAAGGUCCAGCCUUGGUGGGAGGCGGCGUGGCCACACUGGGACAGUGCGGCCUGCCUGGGGCAGAGGAAGGGUCCAGAGACCGAGAACCAGAGCUGGUCUGCAGGAGAGACCACCCUUUGGCCGGGAAACUCACGGCGGGGGCACACCGGGGCUACAGAAACUGCCCUUCAGGGCUGAGAAUCUUGCUGGGCACAGGAAAGGCUGUAGGAGGCCCGCCCAAAGCAGCUGCAGGUGGAGGAGAAACUCACCGAGGGGUCUUCCACCCACCGGGCCCCCUGGCCUUGCACCGCAGGAAGAGAGAAGCAGCUGGCGCCAGGAAGGGAGCCCCCUCCUCUGCCCGGCAGACGUGUUGCUCCAGAGCUCCAGUGAGGAAGCCCCCAGCCAGCUAGCCGGCCAAGGAGAAGCAUCUGCAGGUCUGGCUCCCCCAUCAUGAGCCGGCCAAGGAGAGUGAGUCCCCGCCCAGCCCUUACCUACUGCGGCAGUGGCCCUCCUCGACUCCCGAGAUCAGGUCCUAAAAGCUGACACGGCCAGUGGAACUCAGCCACCCGGUCGGCCCAGAGCACCCCCUGCCCUGGGAGGAACUGGCAGGCAGCAGCCGGUGCCAGCUACUCAGGCACCGGCUUGCACAGGCAGGUCUCUGUCCCCACGGGCGGGGCCACACUAGCUGACGUCACGGGGAGCGGGGUUGCGCCUUCCCUGUGGACUCGGCCAAACCUGCAAAUUCCUGAACAAGACCGACGGUGGUGGCUGUUCCAUAGCAACAGGGCAGCGGAAGGAUGGAGUAGGCACUGUGGGCAGGCUGGGCACUUGCAGCAUGUACUUCCUGGAAUCCUGCAACGUGGCGCCCGGUCGUGGAACCGGCUAGGGCUGGGGGCCGGUGAGAGGUCGGACUGUUGGGUGCGUGGCGUCAGAUCUCUCCUCGCCCCAUCUGGGUUAUUUUUUCACUGAUCGUGUGCGCUUUCCCAUGAUGUCCAUUUUGUUCAGGCUUAGGGGCACCUGACCCAACUGUCAAGUCCAAGACCAAAGCCAGAGAGCCUGGCACUGUCCCUCGUGACGGCUGCUCCCACAACCCUGCUCACCUGACCUCUGGGCCUGCCCCCUCGGGUGCCCAGGGGAAACCGGCACUGCCACCAUCAUUCCUGGCCCACAGAGGGCUUUUCGGGAAUAUGUGGUCCUCACCGAGGGCUCUGGCCAGGCCUCUGUCAGGGCAGUGUGGUUUGGGGACACAGUGAGGCACCCAGCGGGCUGCACCUGACAACUCACAGCAGGUCCUUAUCUCCCAAAGUUCCUGGAGUCUUCCCUACCUAUCACACCAAGGGACUUUUGGCUCAGCUCAGCUGUGCCAAGUCCAAGCUUCCAGCAACAAAGGACCAAACUGGGCCUCUGUGGCUCUCGGUGCGAGUCAGUAAAAUCUUGGUGUUCCUGGGGUGGGGCCCGGAGGAGAAGCAGCCUCCCCUUAGCCAGCGACUGCCUUGGUGUGGUCUGCACGGAAGGGGGUGUCUCAGGGAGGAGGGUCACCUGCGCUGGCGGGCCAGGCUUUAUGGGGUGAGCUCGGGGGUGAGCAAGGCCCUUCCCCUCCACUGUCUCGGUCCUCACACGUCCUCGGGCUGCUCCGAUCUGGGCCUGAGGGGACGGAGACCCCGCUGCGUGUUGGAAUCCUGCCAGCCCCAGGCUGAAGCUGGGGCACGAUUUCCUGAUACCGCAGUGCUGCCACAAGAAACCAGAUCUCUCAUAGCAGCCCAGUAGAUUUUCCCAUUUUCUGGUUCUACCCUGGAACUGAGAACUUAAAGCUUGUCUUAAAAAUGUCAUGUUCGCGGGGGAAGUCUGAAGUUGCCGGCCAGCCCUUCUGACCUCCUUUUAUCUUAAUUACCUCUGUCGAGACCCUCCCUCCUAACUACAUCACAUUCAGAGGAACUGUGGGUUGGGACCUCAGUACCUGAAUUUUGAGGGGACACGGUUCAACCCACCACACACAGAUGAGAUCACCACUUCCUAUCACCUGUCCUGGACUUCUGCCUCCCAGGCUCUCUCCUGGAGCGACUUGUGACAAGGCCACUGCAUCACCCGCCUUCACUCGGGACAGCUCUCUGGGCAUUUCAAGCCGGAAGUGUUUAGUACGGGGGUUCGGUGCCUCUAAACCGCGGAUGGGCAGGAAUGAAGGGAGGGGCCGCACCACUGGAUCCUGGCGGGGGGCGGGCGGGGGCACAGAGACUCUGCAGGUUGCGAGAGGCGGGUCCUGUCAGUGACCACGGCCUCCUGCCCUGGGCCUGCUGCCCCAUCUCACCUGCCAGAGGCCCCCAGGUGGCCUGUGACUGCCCGGGGGUGGGUGGGGGUCUCAGGAGACUCCUCUUGUGGGUGGACAGUAGCCCGGGAUCCCGACGUGGCUUCCAGGGAAGGUGUCAGUGGGGAGGUGCCGUUUGGGGUGGCCGUUCCAUGACGCGCAGACCCGGGGGACGUUGGUAUGAAAACAUGGCCCUUGGGCGGGCCACCAUCCACAGGGCCGCUGGCGGCCCGCAUGGAGUGACCCCCGGCCUUGUGGUGCAGAUGACGUAAGCUGCACGUGAGGCACCUGGGAGUUGGCUGUCGGGGACCAGCGCGGGAAGCCGCCGCCUCUGUCCACCUGCUCUCCACCUCCAAGGCCUGGCUCCCCGACACGAGCUCUGAUUGGCUUCCCUCCCUGGGCCAAUCGGCUGUGGCCGUGGGGGGUAGGGGAGCUGAUUGGCUGAGCCGAGUGUCGUGCCCUCAGCUGAGCCAAUCCGCAGAGGGGAGGGCGGGGCCCACCGGAGGCAGGCGCGCCCACUCACGUACACUGAGCGGCGGGAGUUGCCUCCCGGCGCCGACGCCAGGUGUCCCCGGACGCCAGGUGUCCCCGGACGCCAGGUGUCCCCCGACGCCAGGUGUCCCCGGAUGCCAGCCGUCCCACGCCCGGCCUGCGUGUGGGCUGUGGGGUCAGGACGCCCCGCGGAGGCCGAGCUGGGGCUGGCUGGUGCGGUGCGGGAGCGCUUCCGACGCGGGGACACGCGCGGCGCAGCCCGGAUUCAAACCCAGGCCGGCCCACAGACCCUCCGGGAGCUGCGCUCUCUCGCCUCUGGGUAUUUUGUGCAUGGAGGGGACGGUCACGUCACGCACAGGUCACACCUGAAAGUCAACAAUUCAGUCAUCUGGUGCUUCACAACGCCGUGGGACCACUACCUCUGCAUUCUAGCACCUUCUCCUCACCCGGGACAGCAUCCGUGCCUGUUAACAGUCACUCCCCGCCCCCUCCCCCCGCCCCUGGUGGCCCCGGUCUUUCUGUUUCUGUGGAUUCCGACUCCAGAUGGUUCAUGAAAGAACAAGUACACGCACGUGGCCUUUGGUGUCGGUCCUCCCCGUCCAGCCACACCGGCUUUUCAGAGCUUGGGCAUGAACGCUGUGGUGUGGAGAGACCACGUUUCGUUUAUUUGGACAUCAGUGGAGCUGGGCUGUGUCCCCCGCUCGGCUGUGGUGACCAGCGCGACCAAGAACAUUCGUGGGUGAGCCUGUGCGACCGCGUGUAAAGACCUUUGGAUCACUGUAGCCUCGUAGUGAGUUUCGAAACCGGGAACUACCAAUACUUCAGGGUUUUUUUCUGGCUAUUUUCAGGGCCCCCUUGCAUUUCCAUGUGCAUCUGAGGGUCGGCCUUCUCAUUUCUGCAAAAAGGCAACGGGGGUUUUCAUUUGGCUGAGAUCGCCGUGGACCGUGGCCAUGGAUGGCCAUGGAUGGCCACGGGGCCUUCGUGCCCGGGAGCGCACAGCCACAGUGGGCGGGGCUGGCUCUGCCUUCACGACAGGACAGCAGGACGGGAAGCCCUUUUUGGGCUGCUCCUUUGUUGGGGCGUCAUUUGCUUUUCCCCCAGUCUGGAAGGUUCUGAUACUCAGCAAAAAAGAAACACCCACGUGGGGUUCCCUCUUC